UACAUAGCCCGGGGAAACCCGGAUUAAUACCGCAUACGUCCUACGGGAGAAAGCAGGGGAUCUUCGGACCUUGCGCUAUUGGAUGAGCCUAAGUCGGAUUAGCUAGUUGGUGGGGUAAAGGCCUACCAAGGCGACGAUCCGUAGCUGGUCUGAGAGGAUGAUCAGCCACAUCGGGACUGAGACACGGCCCGAAUCUCCUACGGGAGGCAGCAGUGGGGAAUAUUGGACAAUGGGGGCAACCCUGAUCCAGCCAUGCCGCGUGUGUGAAGAAGGCUUUCGGGUUGUAAAGCACUUUCAGUAGGGAGGAAAACCUUAUGGCUAAUACCCAUGAGGCUUGACGUUACCUACAGAAGAAGCACCGGCUAACUCCGUGCCAGCAGCCGCGGUAAUACGGAGGGUGCAAGCGUUAAUCGGAAUUACUGCGUAAAGCGCGCGUAGGUGGUUUGGUAAGCGAGAUGUGAAAGCCCCGGGCUUUACCUGGGAACGGCAUUUCGAACUGUCAGACUUGAGUGUGGUAGAGGGUAGUGGAAUUUCCUGUGUAGCGGUGAAAUGCGUAGAUAUAGGAAGGAACACCAGUGGCGAAGGCGGCUACCUGGACCAACACUGACACUGAGGUGCGAAAGCGUGGGGAGCAAACAGGAUUCGAUACCCUGGUGGUCCACGCCGUAAACGAUGUCCACUCGCCGUUGGGACUCUUGAAGUCUUAGUGGCGCACGUAACGCACUGAGUUGACCGCCUGGGGAGUACGGCCGCGAGGUUAAAACUCCAAUGAUUUGACGGGGGCCCGCACAAGCGGUGGAGCAUGUGGUUUAAUUCGAGCAACGCGAAGAACCUUACCUGGCCUUGACAUCCAGAGAACUUUCCAGAGAUGGAUUGGUGCCUUCGGGAACUCUGAGACAGGGUCGGCCGUCGUCAGCUCGUGUCGUGAGAUGUUGGGUUAAGUCCCGUAACGAGCGCAACCCCUAUCCCUGGUUGCUAGCAGGUAAUGCUGAGAACUCCAGGGAGACUGCCGGUGACAAACCGGAGGAAGGUGGGGAUGACGUCAGGUCAUCAUCGCCCUUACGGCCAGGGCUACAAUC
rnacentral:rRNA from 2 species